rnacentral:rRNA from 1 species
UACGUAGGGGGCAAGCGUUGUCCGGAAUCAUUGGGCGUAAAGAGCGUGUAGGCGGCCAGAAAAGUCCGCUGUGAAAACUCGAGGCUCAACUUCGAGCUGUCGGUGGAAACUUUCUGGCUAGAGUCCGGAAGAGGAGAAUGGAAUUCCUGGUGUAGCGGUGAAAUGCGCAGAUAUCAGGAAGAAUACCCGUGGCGAAGGCGGUUCUCUGGGACGGUACUGACGCUGGAGACGCGAAAGCGUGGGGAGCGAACAGG